rnacentral:lncRNA from 10 species
UCCAGUUCCAAAAUGGCAGCAGAGAGGAAGCACCAUACUGUUUUCCAAAGCAGCUAUGCCAUUUGACAUUCCCACCAACAGUCCACGACGGUUCCAACUUCUCCACAUCCUUAUCAACACUUGUUAUUUUCUGUUUCUUUGACAGUAGCCAACCUGAUGGAUGUGAGAAGAUAUUUCAUUGUGGUUUUGAUUUCCACUUCCCUAAUUAUUUGUGAUAUCAAACAUCUUUUUAUAUGCUUUUUGACCAUUUGUAUAUCUUCUUUGGAGAAAUGUCUAUUCAAGUCCUUUGCCUAUAUUUUAAUCAGGUUAUUUGAAUUUUUAUGUUGUUGAGUUGUACAAGUUCUUUGUAUAUUCUGGAUAUUAAGCCCUUAUCAGACAUAUGAUUUGCAAAUAUUUUCUCCCAUUUUCUCUAGGUUGCCUUUCACUCUGUUGAUUGUGUUCUUUGAUGCACAGAAGCUGUUUAUAUUUUUAGAAGUUUUCAAUUCUGAUGAGGUUUAGUUCAUCUAGUUUUACUUUUGUUGCCUAAAACCACAGUUCUUCAGUUAGCUUUUUACACUGUAUACAAAUUAAUUAGAAUUCUAUAUCCAUCAUUGAAUUUAGUGCUGCUCCCAUUUGGCAAUAAUUUCCAGUAGUUUUUCAAUGUUUUUGCUUCAUGGAUGAGAUGAUGACAUCAUCAUUUUAAAGUGUUAAUUGAGUUGAUGAAAAUACAGAGAUUAGGGUAUAUUUAGAGAAAAGAAUUUUUUGCCCAGCCAAAUUUAUGCUACCCACUCUUUUCUGGUUAAAAGUAAAAGGAUUUUUAAAUUACCAUAUAUUUUAGCUUUCGUAAGCAUAAUAAAAGGGAGAAAAUUAUGCUUUAAAUAUAUAAUCAGAAAUCUAUGCAUUUGAAACCAAUCAACCAAUCAAAGCAAAAGAUAUUAUUACUUUCUAUAAGUACAAUUAACACAGUCUGCCAUUCUCCAAAAACCAAAUCUUUUGAUCUACAUUGGGACUAAACAGGAGUUUCUUUGUAUACCUUAGAAGCCCUGAGUGCUGAGAAGCUAACUAUGCCGGAUAAAAUAUUAAAGAAGCUCUCUUUGUGUUAACAGAGUUAUUUCUCAACAUUCAUGCAAGACUUAGUACCCCACUUUGGUGAAAGUACUACUGUAGGAUCAUAGUUUCCUGGUGAGAAAUAUUGUUGCAAACUAUCAAUAAAGCAUAUGUGUGUUUAUAGGAAAAGGAAGAAAAGAGUAACAAGAAAGUACAAACAUUCGUUAUUAUUUUUUAAUCACCACCAUUAAAAUCUUUUGCUUACUUCCCUCUAUUUCUUUGUGGCAUGUGUUCAAAGAUCUACAAUGUGGUGUACUGUGUUAUUGUUUUUGGCUCAAUGCUAUAUUUAAGCAAUAAGAAGUAUUUUAGUUUCCUUUUUUCCUUGAUAAUCUAACAGCUAUUGGAGUGCAUAAAGUUUAGGGUCCACUGUCUUUCAUUGCAGAUUCGUUCUUACAGGUCAAAUUGAAUUUGGUUUCUGCAGAGCAUUCAAGGUCUCAAGGCUAUCUCAGACUCUGCUGCCUUUUGUCACUUGAUUUUCAAUUUACUGGAAGAAAGUAUAUUCCUGCUGGUCAUGAGUAACUUCUUGUUCCUACGUUUAUGAGAUUUAUAAGGGCCAAAGUUAUUUAUUGAUGACCAUAUGUCACCUCCUAGAGAUGAGUACCUGGUCAGAUGAUGCAUAAAUGACUCUUAAAAUAAAUAUUUGACUAUCUAUGGAAAGGCAAAUUAGCCUGGUUAGAUUACAAGAAAUAUUUUCUUUCUUGGUGUUUUUUCUUUAUUCUUUAUUUUUUGUUACUUUGAUAUUAACAUUGCUUUUAUUUGAUGUACUUUUGUAUUAGAAGGAGAAUAAAUGUUAUGGUGAGCAAAUUUAGAAAUAAAAUGGAGAGUUAAGAGAAAUGUAAUUAAAAGAAAUAAUGGAGAGUAAAGAGAAGGGAGGGAGAAUUGCUAGGAGAGUGGAGUAGGGAACUGAAAAAACAAAAACAAAAACCAGAACACUUUAACUUCCCCCUCUACUAGUUUCUUACAGCUUGGGGAUUUAUACAGUUUUGUUGUGGUGGUGGUGGUGGUUUUGUUUUUUUGUUUUUGUUUUGUUUUGAGAUGGAUUUCACUCUGUCACCCAGGCUGGAGUGCAGUGGUGCAAUCUUGGCUCUAUGCAACCUCCACCUCCUGGGUUCAAGCGAUUCUCCUACCUCAGCCUCCCGAGUCGCUGGAACUACAGGUGCAU